rnacentral:lncRNA from 10 species
CAGGAGUUUUCUUAGUCACCAUAUGAUAGGAUUUUAUCUUUCCUUUUUGAUCAGUUCUUUCUGUAUUUGUCAUUUUCCUCUUUCCGAAUGUGAAUUAUUAUUCUGCUAAUCUUAUUCCUACUGUAUAUGAUUAUACCUUAAUAUGGUGAGAGACAAAUUGCUCUCAUUUUAUAAUUUUCCAGUUAAUGAGAGCCACAUCUACACCUGAGGGCUAGGACUGUGCGUCACCUUGAAGUUCAAGGUAGGUGUAGUCUCUGAGCAGGCUUGGCUGGUCCUCUCUUUGGUAAGGUUCAGUUUAGAGAGGAUGAGUGUGUUCUGUUUUUGCAUAAAAGCUUGAACUUGGGUAUUUGAAUAUUCAAGGGUAGACUGUAGCAGAGACAGCAGGUUGUAGCCCCAAUGUUUUCUCCUAUUUUUGUUUAUAGUAAGAGAACCUUGAAUAUUAGCUGGUUGCCAAGAAUGAAUGCUAUUUUCCAGUAUCAUUUGCAGCCAGAUGUAACCAAUAGACUAAGCUCUUAUGAAUAGAAUAGGAGGGAAAAUGUGCUUAUGAUAUGUAGGUAAAAGGAGGUAGACUGACUCCCUUCCUUUUCCAUUCUAAUGCAAUGCUCUAGUAUUGAGAGCUCUACAAGUCAGGAAUAUACACCUACAGAUGGCCUCAUGGACAAGAGUUUACCUACAAACUCUGAACUGUUCAGCCAGAUGUUGGACAUACAGAUGUGAGAGUCAAUGCCCAGUCAAAAGAAAAACUGAAGAUCCACAGCAGCAUCUUCCCCAACACAGCCAGGAAAACACUUCAAAUGUCCUUCUAUGGCUUUGUGUCUGUUUGUGUGUGCAUUUUAACAAUGAAGAUACCCCAAUGACGGAAAAGAUGACACUGAAAAUUAUUGAAUAUGAGGAGAUCUGAACAAGAAUAAUUCAUGGAGGAUUGCUAGAGUCAUCGUGUGUGGAUAAACAGAAUGAGUACUGCAUAUACACAAAAAUGCUGUAUUUCUUCAGUAAACAACUUGCAUACCUGCAGCAGUGCUGAAUGAGAAAUAACAGCUAAGUGUUUUUUCUUUUCCUGCCUUUAUAGUUACAGUAUUCCCUACAGAUUUCCCAUCCAGAUGCUCUUCUGUCUACAAUCUGACUGUGUGCAAAAUCCAAGAUGAUAUGCUGCGAUAAUUUUUAGUGUUAACAUGGAGGAUCUAUAGGCCUGGAUAUAUAUAUAUAUAUAUAUAUAUAUAUAUAUAUAUAUAUAUAUAUGUAUGAUAUAUAUAUGUAUGUCAAAUGCAUGGUGUCCAUUUACAUUCUCAUUGAUCUUGAACUAUUUCUUAAGCUCUGUGUCUUAUAUUU